UGGAAAAACUUAAAAGCCUACAGUGUCAAGUAGUUAGUCCUCAGGCAAAAUGAGGUGUUACCAUCUACCUGAGACUGCAAAAUAGCUUCUCCUUACUGCAGCCAAAAGCACCGGUCGUCACAACUACACUUUUCCACAAUAGCUAAGAUGCAUUUUACAGAAUUAGAAAAUAAAUUUUCCUGUAUUAAAUACAAAGCCUCAUGUUUCCCUUUUCUCUUCUACAGCAUGACUUUGACCACAUGUAGUUCUGAUCCUGAGUACCACAGCAUAAGCACAGUAAACAGCAGCACAUCUACAGCUAUUUCCCAGAACUGCAGAAUGUGACCUGCCUUCAUGAAUCUGGAUCUAAGAACUUACUGAGCUGCAUCUUUAAGAAAGUCCACAAGCUCUUUUGUGGAAAGAAAACCAAACCCCAACAAUUGUGACUUACCUCCUCUGCACUCCCACAGUCGUGAGCCUGCCAUGUCUCCAGCUGUCUCUCCAUCUCCUGUCGUAGCUCAAUGACAUCUUUUAAAAGGGGCUAAGAAGGAAAAGCUACAGUCACUGCAGAUUCUUACUAAUUCCAGCCCCCACCCCCCAUCCUGGAAGCAGAAAUAAGAAAGACCAAUUCAUCUUAAGCAUUUCAAGGAUGUGACUUCAGAGUGUGCGCCAAUGGACUCACCAAUUUUACUGUAAGUCCAGAAUGUAUGAGGCCUUGGGUUACUCUCCAGCACCGCCAAACAAGAUAACCAAUAAAAUAAAAACACUGUUCUAUACUGCAGUUGGCUUGAAUUCAGGCAAAUCUCAUC